CAAGGUAUUUAGCUACCUAACUAAGCAAUGCAGCAGCAGCAGCAGCAGCAGCAGCAGCAGCAGCAGCAGCAGCAGCAGCAGCAGCAGCAG
ensembl:miRNA Gm44467 predicted gene, 44467